CGCUCGCAUUGAUUACGUCCCUGCCCUUUGUACACACCGCCCGUCGCACCUACCGAUUGAAUGAUUCGGUGAAAAUUCUGGACUGUGGCUCGGACGCCUUCGGGCGACCUUGCUGUGGGAAGUUAUUUAAACCUCAUCAUUUAGAGGAAGGUGAAGUCGUAACAAGGUUUCCGUAGGUGAACCUGCGGAAGGAUCAUUACCACACCCUCAAAUA
rnacentral:rRNA from 1 species